UUAAGCGACUAAGCGUACACGGUGGAUGCCCUGGCAGUCAGAGGCGAUGAAGGACGUGCUAAUCUGCGAAAAGCGCCGGCGAGGUGAUAUGAACCCUUGACCCGGCGAUGUCCGAAUGGGGAAACCCAGUGCAAUCCGUUGCACUAUCGUUAACUGAAUACAUAGGUUAACGAGGCGAACCGGGGGAACUGAAACAUCUAAGUACCCCGAGGAAAAGAAAUCAACCGAGAUUCCCCCAGUAGCGGCGAGCGAACGGGGAGCAGCCCGGAGUCUGAAUCAGCUUGUGUGUUAGUGGAACGGUCUGGAAAGUCCGACGGUACAGGGUGAUAGUCCCGUACACGAAAGCACACAUGCUGUGAACUCGAAGAGUAGGGCGGGACACGUGGUAUCCUGUCUGAAUAUGGGGGGACCAUCCUCCAAGGCUAAAUACUCCUGACUGACCGAUAGUGAACCAGUACCGUGAGGGAAAGGCGAAAAGAACCCCGGCGAGGGGAGUGAAAAAGAACCUGAAACCGUGUACGUACAAGCAGUGGGAGCCUCUUUAUGGGGUGACUGCGUACCUUUUGUAUAAUGGGUCAGCGACUUAUAUUCUGUAGCAAGGUUAACCGUAUAGGGGAGCCGAAGGGAAACCGAGUCUUAACUGGGCGUUAAGUUGCAGGGUAUAGACCCGAAACCCGGUGAUCUAGCCAUGGGCAGGUUGAAGGUUGGGUAACACUAACUGGAGGACCGAACCGACUAAUGUUGAAAAAUUAGCGGAUGACCUGUGGCUGGGGGUGAAAGGCCAAUCAAACCGGGAGAUAGCUGGUUCUCCCCGAAAGCUAUUUAGGUAGCGCCUCGUGAACUCAUCUUCGGGGGUAGAGCACUGUUUCGGCUAGGGGGCCAUCCCGGCUUACCAACCCGAUGCAAACUACGAAUACCGAAGAAUGUUAUCACGGGAGACACACGGCGGGUGCUAACGUCCGUCGUGAAGAGGGAAACAACCCAGACCGCCAGCUAAGGUCCCAAAGUCAUGGUUAAGUGGGAAACGAUGUGGGAAGGCACAGACAGCCAGGAUGUUGGCUUAGAAGCAGCCAUCAUUUAAAGAAAGCGUAAUAGCUCACUGGUCGAGUCGGCCUGCGCGGAAGAUGUAACGGGGCUAAACCAUGCACCGAAGCUGCGGCAGCGACGCUUAUGCGUUGUUGGGUAGGGGAGCGUUCUGUAAGCCGUUGAAGGUGUGCUGUGAGGCAUGCUGGAGGUAUCAGAAGUGCGAAUGCUGACAUAAGUAACGAUAAAGCGGGUGAAAAGCCCGCUCGCCGGAAGACCAAGGGUUCCUGUCCAACGUUAAUCGGGGCAGGGUGAGUCGACCCCUAAGGCGAGGCCGAAAGGCGUAGUCGAUGGGAAACAGGUUAAUAUUCCUGUACUUGGUGUUACUGCGAAGGGGGGACGGAGAAGGCUAUGUCAGCCGGGCGACGGUUGUCCCGGUUUAAGCAUGUAGGCGGAGGUUCCAGGUAAAUCCGGUACCUUAUUAACGCUGAGGUGUGAUGACGAGGCACUACGGUGCUGAAGUGAUAAAUGCCCUGCUUCCAGGAAAAGCCUCUAAGCAUCAGGUAACACGAAAUCGUACCCCAAACCGACACAGGUGGUCAGGUAGAGAAUACCAAGGCGCUUGAGAGAACUCGGGUGAAGGAACUAGGCAAAAUGGUGCCGUAACUUCGGGAGAAGGCACGCUGAUGUGUAGGUGAAGCCCCUGCGGGUGGAGCUGAAAUCAGUCGAAGAUACCAGCUGGCUGCAACUGUUUAUUAAAAACACAGCACUGUGCAAACACGAAAGUGGACGUAUACGGUGUGACGCCUGCCCGGUGCCGGAAGGUUAAUUGAUGGGGUUAGCGGCAACGCGAAGCUCUUGAUCGAAGCCCCGGUAAACGGCGGCCGUAACUAUAACGGUCCUAAGGUAGCGAAAUUCCUUGUCGGGUAAGUUCCGACCUGCACGAAUGGCGUAAUGAUGGCCAGGCUGUCUCCACCCGAGACUCAGUGAAAUUGAACUCGCUGUGAAGAUGCAGUGUACCCGCGGCAAGACGGAAAGACCCCGUGAACCUUUACUAUAGCUUGACACUGAACACUGGUCCUUGAUGUGUAGGAUAGGUGGGAGGCUUUGAAGCGUGGACGCCAGUCUGCGUGGAGCCAACCUUGAAAUACCACCCUUUAAUGGCUGGUGUUCUAACGUAGACCCGUAAUCCGGGUUGCGGACAGUGUCUGGUGGGUAGUUUGACUGGGGCGGUCUCCUCCCAAAGAGUAACGGAGGAGCACGAAGGUUGGCUAAUCCUGGUCGGACAUCAGGAGGUUAGUGCAAUGGCAUAAGCCAGCUUGACUGCGAGCGUGACGGCGCGAGCAGGUGCGAAAGCAGGUCAUAGUGAUCCGGUGGUUCUGAAUGGAAGGGCCAUCGCUCAACGGAUAAAAGGUACUCCGGGGAUAACAGGCUGAUACCGCCCAAGAGUUCAUAUCGACGGCGGUGUUUGGCACCUCGAUGUCGGCUCAUCACAUCCUGGGGCUGAAGUAGGUCCCAAGGGUAUGGCUGUUCGCCAUUUAAAGUGGUACGCGAGCUGGGUUUAGAACGUCGUGAGACAGUUCGGUCCCUAUCUGCCGUGGGCGCUGGAGAAUUGAGGGGGGCUGCUCCUAGUACGAGAGGACCGGAGUGGACGCAUCACUGGUGUUCGGGUUGUCAUGCCAAUGGCACUGCCCGGUAGCUAAAUGCGGAAGAGAUAAGUGCUGAAAGCAUCUAAGCACGAAACUUGCCCCGAGAUGAGUUCUCCCUGAGACUUUAAGUCUCCUGAAGGAACGUUGAAGACGACGACGUUGAUAGGUCGGGUGUGUAAGCGCAGCGAUGCGUUGAGCUAACCGAUACUAAUGAACCGUGAGGCUUAACCUU
rnacentral:rRNA from 2 species